CAGUCGCCGCGGUAAAACGUAGGGUGCGAGCGUUAAUCGGAAUUACUGGGCGUAAAGCGUGCGCAGGCGGUUGUGUAAGACAGGUGUGAAAUCCCCGGGCUUAACCUGGGAACUGCGCUUGUGACUGCACAGCUAGAGUAUGGCAGAGGGGGGUGGAAUUCCACGUGUAGCAGUGAAAUGCGUAGAGAUGUGGAGGAACACCGAUGGCGAAGGCAGCCCCCUGGGCCAAUACUGACGCUCAUGCACGAAAGCGUUGGGAGCAAACGGGAUUAGAUACCCCAGUAGUCCCUGUCUCUUAUAC
rnacentral:rRNA from 1 species